rnacentral:rRNA from 1 species
AACGAACGCUGGCGGCAUGCCUAACACAUGCAAGUCGAACGAUCCCUUCGGGGAUAGUGGCGCACGGGUGCGUAACGCGUGGGAACCUGCCCUUAGGUUCGGAAUAACUCAGAGAAAUUUGAGCUAAUACCGGAUAAUGUCUUCGGACCAAAGAUUUAUCGCCUUUGGAUGGGCCCGCGUUGGAUUAGCUAGUUGGUGGGGUAAAGGCCUACCAAGGCGACGAUCCAUAGCUGGUCUGAGAGGAUGAUCAGCCACACUGGGACUGAGACACGGCCCAGACUCCUACAGGAGGCAGCAGUGGGGAAUAUUGGACAAUGGGCGAAAGCCUGAUCCAGCAAUGCCGCGUGAGUGAUGAAGGCCUUAGGGUUGUAAAGCUCUUUUACCCGGGAUGAUAAUGACAGUACCGGGAGAAUGAGCCCCGGCUAACUCCGUG